UCGCUCCUACCGAUUGAGUGAUCCGGUGAAUAAUUCGGACUGCAUCAAUAUUGAAUUCUUCGAUGUUGAAGCGGAAAGUUUAGUGAACCUUAUCACUUAGAGGAAGGAG
rnacentral:rRNA from 1 species